rnacentral:lncRNA from 1 species
UAUUAUUCAAUGCUUCAGAGCACUCGUUAGCAAAACCCGACAAAAAAUAUUGCAAUAGUCUUAGACAGCCUUUCACUGAAUUUAUUCAUAAUCCAUCAAAAUUACAACUUAUUAUGCAGGAAGCAAGGAGUUGCGACAACAAAGUCCCAAACCAAUUUGCCUCUCAUCUCACAUUCAUAUCAACCAGUACUUUUUUUAAUUUAUUCUUCAUAUCAACCACUUAUAUAUAUAAAUUUUGGAUAUUUAUCACCAAACAUCAUGGCUUGGAAUCAUUAACAAUAUAACCGUGUCCCCAAGGAAAAUCUCCUGCGAGUUGUCGAUUUGUCUUACCUGUUUCAACAACAAAAAUAUCGUAAGAUCUGUUUGACUUUCCGGAUAUAAAAUGUGAGGAUAUAAAAAGAUAAGAGGAUGCGUAAUAUCGUAAGAUAUAAGAUAUAUAAAAUAUAAGGUUAUAUAUACUAUGUGCCCAUACAUAUAUAACCCUUUUGUUAAGGGUAGGAUAUAUAUAUAUAUAUAUAUAUAUAUAUAUAUAUGAAAACUAAGAAAAAAAAUAUUAAUCUUGUCCGUUGGAUGGAAAGAGCCAUAUUUAGUGAUGGAGAUAUAAUAUUAUAAUAUAUAUAAUAUAAUAUAUUAUGUUAUACACUUUUAUAGAUAUAAUAUUCCAUCAUAUAUUAAGUCCAAUUCUAAUUGACAACCAAAUACAAAAUUUGAAUAGGAGAGGAAAUUAGACAUGCUUUUUUCCUUCAAAAGGUAUCGUAUCUAAUUAUUACUAAAUUGUUAAAAAGGCCUUAAGGCUCACAUAGACUUAUUAAUUAUUAUUUUAUUUAAUAAUUAUGAUUGAUAAAUUAAGUAAAGACAUCCUAUUUAAAAUAGGAGUUUAUUUGUGAAAAUAUGCAACUCUUAUGAAAAAACAUUUCAUUCGCAUCACUUGAAAGUAAGAUAUUCCGUUCCAUGGCUGCGCAUUUAAGUAGGCAUAUUAAUUUUUUCAAAACAAACCAUAUUAUUAAGUUAAAAAUCAUCAAGGUGGCAAACUUACUUGCGACAUCAAGCAGUUCCCUUGCAGCUCCUUGAAAAGCCAAGAGAAGAGCAAGAGUCAAGAGAAAGCUACAAAACACAACCAACUUGCUUGAAGCCAUUUCUCUCUUUGGACUCACAAUUGAACUUAAUUUGGGAUUCCAUUCCCUAUUUAUAACCAAACUGCUAGUUGGAUUAAAAGACGAAACUAAACUGACAACUUGGUAGAUAUGCAAUCUGCUAGGAUGGGCCCAUUUUUUGACCAAUCAAUACUGAUCCAAUACAAUAGUUGUAUCAAAUUCAACGUUUUUGCAAAAAAUUUUUGACCACGCAGUGAGGAAGCCAGAUAUUUUUAAAAAGGAGGGAUAGUUAUUAAUCACAACUUCUAUUUGGGAUGAUGAAGACGUAAAUUUGGAAUUCUCAAUGGCUGAGAACUUGUGUGGAGGUCUAGCCUGUUUCUGGGAACAAAACAUCUUCAUUCUAAAGAGGAAGAUUUGCUUUUCAUGGGAUGAUUGCAUUUAGGAGUGAUUCAUUUGCAUAGUUGAAACAUUAUAUUACAAUGAACUUUUGGUGUCAGAUCUUUUCGUUUUUUGCUCGAGGGAGGAGGAGCAGAUUGAUAUCUGUACAGGGAAAAUAGUUGCUUCUAAUCAUGUUAGUUGCUAAUUAUUUCUAAUAUAGGAAUUGGAGCUGUUGAUGUUAGUAUUGGGCAAUGAGGGCUGAUUAUGAUUUAGCCUUUGUUUAUUAUUUUUUGGGUGUUUUUUUGGUUCCUUGCCAACAUUUUCUUUUCUCUUUGGAUUUAGGCAUGCGCAUGAUUGGCUUAUUUGUUGUGCCAACUAAGUUACAAUAUACAUUCUUAGCUUUGAUAUUUUUGUCCUAAAUCUUUAUUAUCUCAUUGUACUUUUGCUUCGAGUUAACAAUAUUUUUUGUUCUUAUAAAAACAAAGAAGUUAAGUUGCAGUGAGAGAGCGUGCAAAAAACGACGAAAUAGAUGAUAUAGAAAUUGAAUUUUGACCUUUUUUAAAAGCUUCGAGAUGGGCUCUUUCAAAAAUGAAAAGGUUUAGAGUGGGCACUUAUCUAAACUCGCAAGAGGAUAAAUGAUAUAUACUUCUAGUCCUUUGCUAGCUUCGCCUCUGCGUUCCAGAUUCAUCUUAAUUUAUUUAAAUGCUCAAUUUUUAGGAUAUAUUAGAAAAAUUAUUCAUGCAAAAAUUAAGUUUAUCAGAUAUCAUUAAUUACACGAUCGAAUAAUAAUUCUCUUAAAAAACUAGAUGGCUUAUAUCUAAAAAUUGUGCAUACUGCUAGGGCGAAAAGAAUUUAGUCAAUCAGAAAAAAAUUAAUCGUGUGGCUGCCAAUAGUCAAUUAGAAAAGAAUUUAAUCAUGUGGCUGCUAAUAGUCAGUUAGACUAAACAAAUUAGAUCACUGUCGAUAGUCAAUCAACCUGAACCGAUUGGAUCACUAAGGUGGAUCCAUAAUAGGUCCACGACUAGUCAACCUUAUUGUAAGGUUCAAAUUAAGAACUUUAGAGAAGGUUGGCACUUUUAAAUUGGCCCCCGGAUUAAUUUAUUCAGUGGACGGAGUUAUCAAAACAAAGUUAACAAUUGUAUUGAGAUAUCUAAAAAAGUUAUCAACUGAUUCUUUCCAUUGUUUUAUUUUACCAGGUAUAUGGUUCAUGGUAUGAUAUGAUUUAUUUCAAUUGUUUAAUCUUAUUUUUUUAUAAAUAUUAUAGAACUAAUCACACACGCAUAAAACUGUUGAUAAAAAUCUUGUUACAAAUAACAUUUCUCAUUUUCUUUUCCAUAAUCUUUUUGUUCUUAAUUUAACUUUUUUGGGGUUUAUUUCACUUAAACACCAUAGAUUCUAUCUGAAAACACACUGCACUCCCUACUCUAUGAUAUUUUGUAACAAUUUAGUGCAAUUCUUGGUUCCCUACUAGGAACCCAACAAAAGUUGUGGGUGUCAGCUAUAAUAUCUUACUAAAUGCCUAUUUUACCCUUAGCUACUUUACCCUUUCUUCUCUCAAAAGAAUCAUCAAGGCUUUCAACACUCCAUUUGAAUCCCACUUCUAUGACAUUACAAUUCAUCAAAGAUUUCACCACCCACUUGAAUUUCACUUCUAUGGCAUUGCAAACUACAAACACCACAAUCUCUAUUAUUCCCCUUGAAUCCAUCUUCUUUACCAUUGAAGCACGCCACCACCACAACAUCUACCGCCUUGCAUGAAUCGCAUCUCCACCACUAUUGAAAGCCACCAUUCUUCAAUAUCGAUUCGCCUUUCUUCUCUAGCUCACGUGUCUUUCCAAUUCUUCAAAACUAAUACCUUAAUCCUUCAAGAGUUUUAGGGAAGUGAAGAGGGAUGUAGUGGGAUAUAAAAGGAAGAGAUGGGUCAUGAUGAGAGGUGGUGGUAGAAGGUAGAGCCGCAGAGGCCAUGAGAGGUACUAAUGGAAGUUUAAGAUCUUUUAGUAACUCUUACAUUAAGUAAACAGUGUUUGCUAAUAGGAGAUGCAAUGUGAUUUUAACUUCUGAUGAAUUCAGGGGGUGUCAGAGACCUUUAUCCUUUUUUUGGAUAAUGUUAUCACAAAUAUUAUUUUUACCAUUUCUUAUUUACGGUAUGAUGUUGAUAUAACUAAUCCAAUAAAUAAUCAAUUAUAUCUAAAAAUUUUGUAUUAUGUCUUAUCAGAUAUAAUAAAUCAAAAUGAUAAAAAUUAUAUUUUUUGUUUUCCCUGAACAUGCAUGCAUUGAUGACUUUUGUGGGCAAUUAAAGAUUUGUCUUCUAGUUUAGAUCGAGGAAGGUCCUAAGGCGAAGCCAAUGUGUAGGUGUUGGCCAUCUUUUUGCGUCAACCUUAACGUCUUCUGCAUGAGUCAAUGUUUUGAAUCGCAGGGUACUGUGGUGAUUGGUGAGCCACAAAAUGUUAUUGGAGACAACCCAACAAGUGUUGACUUCAUCACUUAAAAUAAAUAACUAAAAGGUCUAAUUAGGAGAGAGGAGCAUGGCAGGCUCGUACAUAAUGCUAGGAUGUUUCCUUAUAAUAUUGGGAAGACUUUUAAGGGGAGAGAGAGAGAGAGUUGGCUCACAACAUUUUGUCAAAUUUUUGAUUGGAGAUAGGGAGAUAGCAUUCCUCAAUCCUCUCUAUAAUGGACCAUUGUGGAUUAGAAUUAUAGCAGGUGGAUUCGGGGCGGCUGUUGUGCCCAUAACACCAUGCUACAAGUUCAACUUGGGCCACAUCAUGGCCCAGUAAUGUGAUUAAUAUUUGCCAAAAGAGAGACUGAUAAAUAUUAAAAUAUUUGCAUUUUGGCCCUUUGAAAUACAUUUGUUAGUUCAUUAUCUUUGUUACUUGAUACUUUCUAUGUCGUUUUCAUGUUUGUAAGUCUUAGAAUGAGGUUUGCAGCUUUUGUAAGGUAAUUUGGAAAGCUUAAAAGGUCGAGAUGAGACCGAAGUGUAAUUUCUAUAGAGUUCAGGGUUAAAUUACGAAAAGCUAACAAAGUUUAGGGGUUAAACUGUGAAUUUUAAAACUCCAACAUCCGUAUUAGAAAGAAAAAGCCCUAGUUUAGAAGAGAAAUUCAUUAUUCAUCGUAUGGAGUUCGCAGAUCGGAAGAGGCAUUUGCGGCUAAGAAGAUAUUUAGGGUGUAGAUAAAACCUGAUAAGUAACUUUGUUUAUGUAUUUAGUUUAGGUCAAGUAACUUUUUUUAUGUAUUUAGUUAGGUUUUCUGAUAUUGAUUCGAAACUUCUUAAGGCUAUCAAUUCCUGAGUUAGCCGGUCCAUAUGUAGUUUUGCACCAACUUAAUUUAAUUGAACCUUCUUCUAACGGACAAUGGGAUUGGUCUCUAAAUUAGUUGAUACUUAGAGCGUCGGAUACCGAGUUAUCAAAACAAAAUUAUAAUUUCACAGAUACAAAGAAAUGAAAAUAGAAAUUGUGUUUAGGUCAAGUAACUUUUUUUAUGUAUUUAGUUAGGUUUUCUGAAUUGAUUCGAAACUUCUUAAGGCUAUCAAUUCCUGAGUUAGCCGGUCCAUAUGGAGUUUUGCACCAACUUAAUUUAAUUGAACCUUCUUCUAACGGACAAUGGGAUUGGUCUCUAAAUUAGUUGAUACUUAGAGCGUCGGAUACCGAGUUAUCAAAACAAAAUUAUAAUUUCACAGAUACAAAGAAAUGAAAAUAGAAAUUGUGUUUAGGUCAAGUAACUUUUUUUAUGUAUUUAGUUAGGUUUUCUGAUAUUGAUUCGAAACUUCUUAAGGCUAUCAAUUCCUGAGUUAGCCGGUCCAUAUGGAGUUUUGCACCAACUUAAUUUAAUUGAACCUUCUUCUAACGGACAAUGGGAUUGGUCUCUAAAUUAGUUGAUACUUAGAGCGUCGGAUACCGAGUUAUCAAAACAAAAUUAUAAUUUCACAUAUACAAAGAAAUGAAAAUAGAAAUUGACUUGGACAGCUUUAGUCACUGAAUUUUAUUCAUAAACUAUCAUAGAUUGUACAAGAUGUCAUCUUUUUAUGAAAGAGGCAAAGUGUUAGUGACGACAAAUUAAGUUGCAAAGCAAUUUGCCUCUCAUGCUCAUAUCAACCACCCUUUUAAUUAGUCUUACACAAAAGUUCUGAAUAUUGAUCAACAAACAUCAUAGGGGGGGAUCAUAUUUAUAACCGUGUCCCCAAGGGGUAUCAUGUCUUUUGAAUUCUCUAAGCUGCCGAUCUGUCUUGCCUGUUUUCACAACAAACAAAUAUGAUAAAGGUUUGUUUAACUGUCCAGAUAUAAAUAAAGGGAAUACAAAGAUGUAAAGAUGUUGAGAAUAUAAUAAAUAUUAAAGUUGCUCUUAGUUUACGUUUUUAGAUGAGUUGGUGAUUAACUCUUUCACAUGAUAUUAGAGCAGGCAAUAGAUCAAACCUCACCAUUUACAUAAUUAAAUGUUUGCAAAUGUUUGGCCCGCUUAUGAGGAGAGCUCGACUACACGUGAGUGAGCAUGUUAAAAAUAUAAUAAAUAAUAAAGUUGUUCAUCUCUCUAACAGCUUAAGUUUUUAGAUGAGUUGAUGACUAAUUCUUUCACAAAAGGGAUACGUAAUACAAUAAGAUACACUAUAUAUAAGAAGUAAGAUUAUAUACACUAUGUUCGUUUGGGUUACGAACUUCGGAUAUAGUUUGGGAUAAGGAAAAAAUGAUUGAUCUUAACCAUUGAAUGAAUAUUGAGAGAGAGCCAUGUUGGCUGGUUGGGAGUCUAAAUUGUGUGAUAUAUUAUAUAUCACACUUUUGGAAUAUAGUGAGCAUGACAAAACUUAUAGUAGAUUUUUGUUAAUUUUUAUCUAGAAAAAGGUUGUAGGCAAAUGUUUGGCAAAAUUUUUUAAAAUUACUUAACAACGAUUUUGUUUUUGCUUUUGAAGGAGGAAUUAAGCAGAUUUUUAGAAUCACCCCAAUUGUUACUUGUCCAAAAAAACUUUAACAAAAUCUAACAAGUGUACGUUGUUUAGGCUUUACAAACAUGCACAGUAUUCCUCGUAUGUUAUAAACUUAUAACCAGUUCUAAUUGCCAACGAAACACAAAAUAUAAAAAGUAGAAGAGAACAUUUGGUAUGAUUUGCAAAAUAAAAAUAUGAAAAAUAUAUAUUUUGUGCGAUAUAUUGACAGUGAGCCAACAAACACACGGGUCCUAUCACAUUUGAAUUUGUACUGUCCACCACUGAACACCGUCUCCAGCAAAACUCUUUCCGAAAGGUGCUAUAUCAAGAUUCAUAUGUUCAUAUAUAUAAUAUGGACAUCGCUUCUCUAAAGUCGUAUGGGUGCAACGCAAGCAUUUUGGCAUAAAUUUUUGGGUUUUAUUUUGAGCUCAUUUUAGUGAUACAAACCGUUUACAUUGUAGAUGGGUGUACUUCAAGUAUUUUGAGUUAUAUUUUGAGCUCUAUUUUGAGCUCAUUUUAAUGACACAAAUCCUUUAUAUUGUAGUAUCCGUCUUAAAUAUCAGUAUUGUAAACUAUCACAUUGAUAGGGCACAAUUCAGCAUCCGUUCAGUACUAUUUUAUAACUUAAUAAAUUAGUAUAACACACAAGAUUAGACGUCUUUAUCUUGAUAUAAAUUGAUAUUAACUAUUGAUCUGUAUCCAAUUAAAGUGAUUUUUUAUAGGAUUAAAAUUUUGUAAGAGGUCUACUUAUAAACGAUUUGAAUCAUCAAAAUAAAUUUAAAUAAAACUCAAAUUAUUUAGACUGCACCGAUACAAUUCAAAAAUAGUAUGCAAGUAAGUCUAGUUUGUAUAAUAUCAUAUUGGAUAUUUACGAUGGGCUUCUUGUUUGGCAUUAAUAGUUAAGAAAAUAGUUUAGGGACAAAAUAUCUUUCCACAAUGUUUGUAAUACAAAACAUUAAAACAAAAGUGAGUUUUUUUUGAUUUAUAGCUCAGUAUGCUCAGCUUAACUGACUUCCAGAGACACUAAUAUGAGUGAUCGACCUAAAGCAGUUCCCAAAAGCAAGAAUCCAGAUUGAAACUUACGUGUAACGUCAAGCAGUUCCCUUGCAGCCACUUCGAAAGCCAAGAGAAGGAUAAGAGUCAAGAGAAAGAUUCCAAAAACAAGCAACUUCUUUGAACCCAUUUUUCUCGAGGAGCACAAUAACAAAAUUUGGGGAUUCCUAUUUAUAAAUAGGGAAUUCCCAAAUUUGGUUAAUG